rnacentral:rRNA from 1 species
GCCGCGGUAAUACGUAGGUGGCAAGCGUUAUCCGGAAUUAUUGGGCGUAAAGAGGGAGCAGGCGGCAGCAAGGGUCUGUGGUGAAAGCCUGAAGCUUAACUUCAGUAAGCCAUAGAAACCAGGCAGCUAGAGUGCAGGAGAGGAUCGUGGAAUUCCAUGUGUAGCGGUGAAAUGCGUAGAUAUAUGGAGGAACACCAGUGGCGAAGGCGACGAUCUGGCCUGCAACUGACGCUCAGUCCCGAAAGCGUGGGGAGCAAAUAGGAUUAGAUACCCUAGUAGUCCACGCCGUAAACGAUGAGUACUAAGUGUUGGAUGUCAAAGUUCAGUGCUGCAGUUAACGCAAUAAGUACUCCGCCUGAGUAGUACGUUCGCAAGAAUGAAACUCAAAGGAAUUGACGGGGGCCCGCACAAGCGGUGGAGCAUGUGGUUUAAUUCGAAGCAACGCGAAGAACCUUACCAGGUCUUGACAUACUCAUAAAGGCUCCAGAGAUGGAGAGAUAGCUAUAUGAGAUACAGGUGGUGCAUGGUUGUCGUCAGCUCGUGUCGUGAGAUGUUGGGUUAAGUCCCGCAACGAGCGCAACCCUUAUCGUUAGUUACCAUCAUUAAGUUGGGGACUCUAGCGAGACUGCCAGUGACAAGCUGGAGGAAGGCGGGGAUGACGUCAAAUCAUCAUGCCCCUUAUGACCUGGGCUACACACGUGCUACAAUGGAUGGUGCAGAGGGAAGCGAAGCCGCGAGGUGAAGCAAAACCCAUAAAACCAUUCUCAGUUCGGAUUGUAGUCUGCAACUCGACUACAUGAAGUUGGAAUCGCUAGUAAUCGCGAAUCAGCAUGUCGCGGUGAAUACGUUCUCGGGCCUUGUACACACCGCCCGUCACACCACGAGAGUUGAUAACACCCGAAGCCGGUGGCCUAACCGCAAGGAAGGAGCUGUCUAAGGUGGGAUUGAUGAUUGGGGUGAAGUCGUAACAAGGUAUCCCUACGGGAACGUGGGGAUG